rnacentral:rRNA from 1 species
AUUGAACGCUGGCGGCAGGCCUAACACAUGCAAGUCGAACGAGUGGCGGACGGGUGAGUAAUGUCUGGGAAACUGCCCGAUGGAGGGGGAUAACUACUGGAAACGGUAGCUAAUACCGCAUACCAUCGGAUGAGCCCAGGUGGGAUUAGGUAGUUGGUGGGGUAACGGCUCACCAAGGCGACGAUCCCUAGCUGGUCUGAGAGGAUGACCAGCCACACUGGGACUUAGACACGGUCCAGACUCCUACGGGAGGCAGCAGUGGGGAAUAUUGCGCAAUGGGGGCAACCCUGAUGCAGCCAUGCCGCGUGAAUGAAGAAGGCCUUCGGGUUGUAAAGUACUUUCGGUAGCGAGGCGUUACCUGCAGAAGAAGCACCGGCUAACUCCGUGCCAGCAGCCGCGGUAAUUC